rnacentral:ncRNA from 22 species
CCCUCAUGCCUUAUCAUUGGCUCCGCUUACCAGGUGUACGGGAAUCAGGUGCGAAGCCUGAACUGCCCCCGCAACGGUGAGCGAGAGAGGCAUCUCAAGGUCGUGACCACGGCGCCGCUUGCCGGAAGGUCGAGAUGUCAUACCUCGCGAGUCCGGAGACCGGCCUGGAAAGCCUUUCUCAAC